CCACACAUGCAACUUAUUAAAGAGGACUUAGCUGUAUUCUUUAUGCUUUGAGUACCAAUUAUAUGGCUAAGUGAUAUGUUUGUGUUUAGGUUUGCAGAUGAGUUCAGUUUGCUGGUACAGUUGCGAAGUCCUCAGAAGGAAGAACGAAGUGUCUUCACUAUGCUCAGCCCCGACAAUCAUGUCAUGCUGCAGCUGCGGAUCAGUGCUCAUGCCAUCAUCUUCAUAGGAACGCAGCAGAGACACUAUGAGUUCCCGGUCAGUGGUUUGUCUGAUGGAAAGUGGCACCAUGUGGCUAUCAGUGUGGCUGCCAAGCGGCUCGCACUCUAUGUGGACUGCUCUCUGCUGGAGAGUGUGGACUGGGUUUACUACGGCAUGGGGAUCAGCACCGACGGCCUGCUCAUGGUUGGAGGAACUAUUGAGAGCUUUGAAACUCCAUUUGAAGGUCAUCUUCAACAGCUGGCCUUCCUGAUGGGAGAUCCAGAUGCUGCCCAGCAGCACUGUAGCCACCACCCACCCCUCUGCAGUGUCACUGCCCUCAAGCCUCCCCGCUUACCACGCACCAACAACCCGCUGCAGAAUAUACUGUUGUCCUCAAAUGACCUGGAGAACCUGCUGGGGGAUCCAAAGGACAAGUCUUUUUUGAGCUUUGGCCGAACUGUAAGUAGAAUAUUGGGUGUCUUAAGUGUUAAUUGUUAACCAGAAAUUCACUUUUAUUUCACAUGUUAGAAACAGUGAAAAAGUGCAGUUACCUGGUUUCACAGCUGUGGCUCAGUGCUGUAGUGACAGACUAUGGGCAGCUUAUAACCGGUGUAUAUAUACACCAACCACUGAUCUGGUUUACAUUUUUGGUUCUUUUUUUGCCAUUAGUGUCUGUGUCUGUGAAACCAACAGUCCAUCAGUCUGCAACAGUCUGUCAUUAAUUAGUCAUGCUGUGCUGAGCCUCAGGCGUCAGAGGCCUCAUCCAGCAGUCCCACCUUCUGUCUUUGGCUGACUGGUCCACUUCACAUUGUGUGGUUGUGUGCGCUGCAUAUGUGUGUUUAAGUGCUUGAUCUGUGAGACACUGUGUGUGUCUGCUCACUGGCCUUUGUUGUGGCCUGCAAGAGGCUUCAUUCCUUCACUGACGCUAAAAGUCUGCUUUGAUAAAUUGUAGCAAUGGCUCAUUUCUUUGAUCUUUACCAAAUGCAGUUUGGGAUUGGAUUAGUGGUUUUAUUUUGAAUAUUUAAAAUAAAGUAAUAAUCAGCACAGCUGCUUCCCAUACUAUGUGUAAUCAGCAGCCCAUCUGGAUUAAAAUCGGAGUAUUGUUUUCUGAGCAUCAGGACCGAACUGAAACUGUCAACUUUUGUGCAGAAAAACAUUACACGUGCCGAGGUGGGUGGAGCCAGGGAGCCCCAUCCAUCUUCUAUGUGCAGAGGUGAAGAAGCUUGACAGAAUAGUCACUGAUAAGAGGCAGACUAGUAAUUUGAAGUGUGAAAAAGUGAUUUCUACCUGCUGUUAAAGUAGUCACCUGAUUAUUUCCAGUAAAUUAGCUUUUGAAUGAUCUGUUGGUAUGCUGUAAAGUUUCUCUGCUGUUCAUAUAAAUAAUAUCUAAACACUAUCUCUCACAUUGUUCUGUUUCCUUACUGCUUACUGCUCAAACUAUAGGCUGUAUGUGAAAUAUUGAUAUGGUCACCAAGAAAUCCCUCACCGGUUUGUGGAUUUGCAUUUUAUGAAGCUUUGAGUUUUGAAGCUUUGAGGGGUUUUCAUUGAGGCAAUCUUGGUCUUGUUAAACUACAUCUGACAAGCAAAGUUUGGAUCUGAUGAAAUAACUGAG
rnacentral:lncRNA from 1 species